rnacentral:lncRNA from 1 species
CUGGCCAAUCCUCUCCUGGGCAGCCGACAGCUCCACUCUGAGAGAAUUGAUCUUGGCAGCUUGGGCCCAAGAUUGGUCACUGGCGUGCUUCUUAUGUUCCUCGAGCUCCUUCUGGAAGUUCGUCUUUCUUUGGCUGUACUCCAUGAUCUCCUUCACAUGGAGGUUCCAGAAGCGGGUGGCCUCCGCGGCGGCUUCAGAGUGACUCUCCCUCAAUCUGUGAAGCUCGCCUUCUAUCUUCUUCGACCUUUUUGUCAAAUGAAGAACUUCCUUCUUCAGCCGCUGGAUCGUGAACUUCAGCGGAAUCCCCUGG